UUGCCACGGUUGGAGGCUCUUUAAAUCAUCUGUUAAGGGGCAAAGGGGCCCAUGGAGGCCUAGUCAAAUUUGAAACCACGUUUGCACUUGAAUAUUCAUCGUUUUGGUCCAGAGAGGAUUCGAUGGUCUGAAUUCUUGGGCUUAUCUUGGUAAAACACUGGAAGUUGGGCCAUCUUGUUCACUAGCUAGUUUAUAUUUUAUAUAUAUAUAUUGUACUAGUUGCCUGCUUUUUAAUCGCUUUGGUUGUAGGAAAAUAUCCCUUGGGGUUCUUAAAUAUAUGGAGGAACCUCACGAUUUGUCUGAUUUGGUUUGAAUUCUGCUGUUGAGUGUUUUAAAUAUGAAUUCUUGGGAUCUGGAACUGUCUAAACGACAACAGUCUGAAAGCAUACACUAAUAAGGUUUUCUUCCUGUGCAAAAAAAACAACAACAACCCUUCAACUCACUGCUUUUAUCAGUGUAGGAAAGAUGAAUGGCAGCAGAAUUAUAUGACUGCAAGAUGUUAACUUGAUAUUCAGCUUUCUCUCUGACAUUAAAGCUACUGAAGAUAUUUAUGAUUUGGUUUAAUGUCCUAAGGUUGUACUGGGGAAGUCGGGCAAGUGUAAAAUAAGGUAACAGAGAAUUAAAUACGUGAUUUUUUCCCCCUCUCAGCUGCAAGUUAUAUUCUUUCUGUCUUCCUCCAAAAGCAGACUGCCAAGAAUGUUUUGAGUGUUGUUGUUUUUUGUUCCUCUCCAAAAUGUGUUUGUCUUUUCCAUGAAAAAUUGAAAACCGCGAUGCAAGGAAAUACCAUUUUUCUUUGUGGAGACACCCGUCUGUAUGAUGUAUUUUUGGCAUCGUUGCAGACUUGACUGCUUUUAAUGCCUGGGAGAAACUGUGUUUGCUGGGCUGGCUUUAAUGACUUACUUCAUUACGCUGUUUUUUCGUGCUGUUUUUGAAUAUAUGAAGCUUCAGGACCGAAUUCCUCACGUGAUUGAAGUCCUGGCCUAACAUUGAGAGUCCCUGAUUAUCUUUCUUCUGGUUUGAUUUGGUAAUGUUAAUGCAAUACCCCCCCAAAUAUUAAACCUUAGGGAAAUAUUAGAGGCAGGGAUACAAAAGAUUGGUUAGUCUACUGUAAGUUGCUGCAGGUUUAUGGGCCAAGUUUCAGGGUUCUUUUGCCAACGUGAUUCAUGAAGCCAGUAAUUCAAAAGUUUUAGGAAAGUCAUUUUUAAUAUAUUUAAAAUGUACAAAAUUGAAACCAUGCUUACAUCUCAGAAACAUCCCAUUCUGAUGAUGCAUGCUUGCCAGAUUGUUUUAGAAAUCAGAUUUCAAUGGCCAGCGUGUUUUAUUUUAAAGGAAACUUUCUCCGUUGAAAAGUUAGUGCUGCUUUAUGGAAGACAAUCUAAAGCAUAUAUUGAAAAUGCAGCUGUCUGUUAAACAUUGACAUUGUUCUGGUUGCUUUAAAAAGUGUCCUGAAUAGAGAUUGAUUCCAAAGAAUUUGGUAUAUGGUCAGUCAGUUUUCUGGGUAAAUUUACUGGGUAAUGUAAAAAGCAAGUUCAGUUUUGGGAUUGUAACGCAGAGGUGAGAUUGUGUUACUGUAGAAAUAAAUCCAUUUACAGCCAAUAAUAAGCUUUUUCCCCCCCAAUUCUGCGGGUCUGUGGUUGCAAUUUUCUCAAAUCAGAAGGCAUGCAAAAAUAAAUAAAUAACUUUAACGGAAGAAGCCUACAGACCAAUUGAUGGCUUCAUGAGUAAGAACAAAUGAUUCGUGGAACUUUACAAAACUGUAUGUAGUUUUAUGUUAAGUUUGUUGGAUUUUUUCCCCCUCCACUUUCUUCUAGAACUCUUCCAACUCUUUUUCUGAAACAACUUUGUGAGUAGACUAGACUGAGAAUAAGUUACUCCCUGGGCCAAGGUGACCCCCCCAAACCUGAGUCUCCCCCAUCCUCAUCCUUAACUAUUACUCUACUCCGGCUUGGUCAGAUAUUAUUUCUUAAUUAGUUGUCUUUUACAACCAACUGAUAACACGUGGACGAACUUUAAACACAGAAUAUUUCGAGAGACCUCAGAUACGUGUUUGAAAAGGAUAAACUUUAUUUACAAAUGGAAAUGUUUCAAACAAAAAGGAAAAAAAAAAGGAACACAGUGAGUACAUCAUGACCCUAAAAAGGCGUGCCCGAUGUCACCGCUGUAAGUUGUGGAAACCUUUACAUAAUGCAUCUCUUUAUUUUGUUCACCAAAGCUUGUUCCUGGCAUGGAAGAUCCGUUGGAGGACACUAAACCGUAAAGCUGAUUUCACCUUCAAUAAAAACGGAUGGAAAGGAUCGAACAGCUUUUCAAUACUACUUACUAAUGUUCGGAAAUACUUUAAAAGCAUUUUGUCUAUUUUAAUUACCGAGGAUGGAGUUGACUCUAAUGUCUCUCUCAGCAUCUUCACAUACCUCUGACCUCCUGAGUCUAGGAACAGUAAGAACAUAAGCUGUGCACAUUUCUGCAUAGAUAUUUGGUC